AGAGUUUGAUCAUGGCUCAGGAUGAACGCUGGCGGCGUGCUUAACACAUGCAAGUCGAACGGUGAAAGAGAGCUUGCUCUCUGGAUCAGUGGCGAACGGGUGAGUAACACGUGAGCAAUCUGCCCCUGACUCUGGGAUAACAGCUGGAAACAGCUGCUAAUACCGGAUACGAGCUGCGAAGGCAUCUUCAGCAGCUGGAAAGAAUUUCGGUCAGGGAUGAGCUCGCGGCCUAUCAGCUUGUUGGUGAGGUAAUGGCUCACCAAGGCGUCGACGGGUAGCCGGCCUGAGAGGGUGACCGGCCACGCUGGGACUGAGACACGGCCCAGACUCCUACGGGAGGCAGCAGUGGGGAAUAUUGCACAAUGGGCGAAAGCCUGAUGCAGCAACGCCGCGUGAGGGACGACGGCCUUCGGGUUGUAAACCUCUUUUAGCAAGGAAGAAGCGAAAGUGACGGUACUUGCAGAAAAAGCGCCGGCUAACUACGUGCCAGCAGCCGCGGUAAUACGUAGGGCGCAAGCGUUAUCCGGAAUUAUUGGGCGUAAAGAGCUCGUAGGCGGUUUGUCGCGUCUGCUGUGAAAACCCGAGGCUCAACCUCGGGCCUGCAGUGGGUACGGGCAGACUAGAGUGCGGUAGGGGAGAUUGGAACUCCUGGUGUAGCGGUGGAAUGCGCAGAUAUCAGGAAGAACACCGAUGGCGAAGGCAGAUCUCUGGGCCGUAACUGACGCUGAGGAGCGAAAGGGUGGGGAGCAAACAGGCUUAGAUACCCUGGUAGUCCACCCCGUAAACGUUGGGAACUAGUUGUGGGGUCCAUUCCACGGAUUCCGUGACGCAGCUAACGCAUUAAGUUCCCCGCCUGGGGAGUACGGCCGCAAGGCUAAAACUCAAAGGAAUUGACGG
rnacentral:rRNA from 1 species